UGGGGAAUUUUUGGCAAUGGGGGCAACCCUGACCAAGCAACGCCGCGUGGAUGAUGAAGUAUCUCGGUACGUAAAAUCCUUUCGACGGGGAAGAAAAACCGCAAGGUUUGACGGUACCCGUAGAAGAAGCCCCGGCUAACUCCGUGCCAGCAGCCGCGGUAAUACGGGGGGGGCGAGCGUUGUUCGGAAUUACUGGGCGUAAAGGGCGCGUAGGCGGUUUGCUAAGUUGGAUGUGAAAACUCUGGGCUUAACCCAGAGCCUGCAUCCAAAACUGGCAGACUAGAGUUUUGGAUGGGGAAGCGGAAUUCCUGGUGUAGCAGUGAAAUGCGUAGAUAUCAGGAGGAACACCGGUGGCGAAGGCGGCUUCCUGGACAAAAACUGACGCUGAGGCGCGAAAGCUAGGGGAGCAAACAG
rnacentral:rRNA from 1 species